rnacentral:rRNA from 1 species
UACAGAGGGUGCAAGCGUUAAUCGGACUUACUGGGCGUAAAGGGUGCGUAGGCGGUUGUAUAAGUUAGUUGUGAAAGCCCAGGGCUUAACCUUGGAACGGCAAUUAAAACUGUAUGACUAGAGUCGAGUAGAGGGGAGUGGAAUUUCCGGUGUAGCGGUGAAAUGCGUAGAUAUCGGAAGGAACACCAGUGGCGAAGGCGACUCUCUGGACUCAGACUGACGCUGAGGCACGAAAGCGUGGGGAGCGAACAGG